UUCUUUAUUUUGAUAGCUGGGGCUCCGGUGUGGACCCAACAGCCCAGAAGUUGCCUGUAACCAGUUUAAGUGACCUUAAGCUGACCUUACCUGCUGCCUGACCUGUUUCUACAUCCUAAGAUGCUUAUUGCACAACCAGAAACCUCCUGUCGAAAAUACAGCUGGAAGCCAGCGUAAAUGGAGGAUGGAUUUAUUUUAGAGAAAGAACACGAGCAGGAAGCGCAGAAGGAGAAGGAGACAGAAUCUCAAGCAGACGCCCGCCAAGCACAGGGCCCAGGGCAGGGUUCCACGGGGACCUGGAUCCCACCAAUCCCGAGACCACGAUGGGAGCCGAAACCAUGAGCCAGACACUCAGCUGACUGCGGCACCCGGCAGACCCAAAAGCUGACCGAUCUUUUAAAACAUCUGAGGUAAGAUCUUACUUUUCCUAAACAAAAAGUCAUUGUCUCCCCGCUUUCAUUAGUGCGUUUCACUACCGAUCUGAAAUGCCGUGUCUUUGAAGAAAAAAGCUUUUUAUUAUGGAAAAUGUCAAAUGACACAAAAGCAAUAUAGUGAGACCACGACCCCCCCCCCCAAAUACCUCUCUCC
rnacentral:lncRNA from 1 species